UCUGCCCCGAAAGCCGGCCCCUCUACCCCGCCAUGACCUCCUGCCUGCCCCGGCCGCAGGCCACCCUCUAUCUCCGGGCCGAGCUUCCCGCCGAGCCCCACGCCAUCCCCUACCUCCCCGGGCCCCACACCUGGCCCUCCCUGGUCCUGGCCGACAGCCCGCCGCAGGCCCCCAUCGUCAUCCCCGGGGAGCCCCCGCCGCAGCCGCCCGUCGUCGUGCCCCCCGACGACCCCCCCAAGCACCCCGCGGUGGUCCACCCGGACCCCGUAAAGAAGCCCACCAUCUUCUGGAUGGAGGAGCCCGCUCCCAACCUCCCCUCCAUCAUGGGCGUCCCGACCCGCCCCAAGCAGCCCCUGCGUCUGCCCACCCCGGGGAGGCGCAGCAGGUCGGAGCCCCGAAGUUCGAAGCCCCUUCUCCUAAUGCGGGACGCUGCUGCUCCGGCUCCCGACAGCUCGGGAACCCCUCCUUCUCCCGCUCCCGACAGCUCUACGGCCCUUCUUUCACCCGCCCCCGACAGCUCAGGGACCCCUCCUUCUCCCGCCCCCGACAGCUCGGGGACCCUUCCUGCCCCCACCCCCGACAGCUCUGCAACCCCUCCUUCCCCCGCCCCAGACAGCUCAGGGACCCUCCUUUCCCUCGCCCCCGACAGCUCAGCGAUACCUCCUUCCCCCUCACCUGCCAACUCGGUGAUCCGCCUUUCUCCCGCCCCCGACAGCUCUGCGCCCCUUCCUUCCCCGGUCCCCGACAGCUCUGCGCCCCUUCCUUCAGCCCCAGACAGCUCUGUCGCAACUCCUUCCCUGGCUCCCCACAGCUCCGCCACCCCUCCUUCCGUCCCCGACAGCUCUGUGACCCCUCCUUCCCUGGCCCCCGACAGCUCUGCGAGCCCGCCUUCCAUCCCCGACAGCUCGGGGACCCUUCUUUCCCCAGCCCCGGACAGCUCGAUGGCCCCACCUUUCCCCGCCCCCGACAGCUCGGUGAACCCUUUUUUCCCUGCCCCCGACAGCUCGGUGACCCCUCCUUCCGCCCCCGACAGCUCGGGGACCCCUUACAGUUCUGGGUCCCCCCCCAGCCGAGGCUCCAGCAUUGCCUCCAGGGGCCACUUGGGGACUCCUGCUGCUCCCCACCUGGUGCUCACUCCCGGGAGUCGCUCGGAAACCCCUCCCAGUUUCCGCGCAGUGCUCACCUCCGGGAGUCACUGGGUAAACCAUUCUAGUCCCCACCCCGUGCUCACCUCCGGGAGUCACUCGGGGAGUCCUCCUAGUCCCCGGGCUGUGCUCAUAUUCAGGAGUCACUCGGGGAGUCGUCCUAGUCCCCGGGCCGUGCUCACCUCCGGGAGUCGCAAGGGGAGUCCUCCUAGUCCCCGCGCCGUGCUCACCUCCAGGAGGCCCUCGGGGAGCCCUCCGAGUCACGCGGGGAGUCCUCCUAGUCCCCGAGCUGUGCUCAGACCUGGGAAUGUGAGGACCCCUCCUGGUUCUCAAGCCGGGCUCCCCUCUGAGAAUUAUUUGUCGACAUCUGUCUCGGGGACUCCUCCUAGCCUGCGCGCGCUCAUGGCUUCUAGAGGCGGUCUGGAGCCCCCUCCUCACCCCAAAAGACUCAGCAUCUCAGGGGGACCCGCGAAGCCCCCUUCUCAUCCGGGGGGCCUUAGCAUCUUUAGGAAGCGUCUGGAAGCCCCUGCUCCCCCGCAAACCCUCAGCGUCUCUGGGAGUCGUCCAGAGCCCCUUCCUCGGGCCAAAGCCCCCACUUUAAAAUCCCUCCUCAAGCGCCCCAACAAGGUGACGGAGGCUUUGGCGGCUGAGGCCGCCCGGCCCUACUGGAUCACUGUCCUGAAGAACCACAGGGACCCUGGCCCCAAGACGGAGCCUUUGGUUUACCCCUCCCUCCUCAAGGCUGAUCCUCCUCCUCCUCUGCCCUUCAUCAUAGUGUCUGAGCCCCAACAAACUCCACCCCCUUUCUUCAAGAGUGAGCCUCAGAUGCCCGUUCCCUCUAACGUCAGUUCUGAGGGUCUUCCUUGCCCCCCCAUCUUCUAUAUUGAGCCUUCAGUUCGCGUCCCCCCCAUCAUCAGGUUCGAGUCCCCCAUCCUCAGACCUGAGACUCCUCCCGACUCCUCCAGUUCAGAGCCUCUUCCCGACUCCUCCAAUAGCUCUGAGCCUACUCCUGACUCCUCUAGUUCUGAGCCUACUCUCGACUCCAUCAGCAGGGCUGAGCCUCCUCCAGACUCCAUCAUCACCAGGGAUGAGCCUCCUCCCGACUUCUCCAUUGGCUCUGAGCCGCCUCCUGACUCCAUCACCAGGGCUGAGCCGCCUCCUGACUCCAUCUCUAAGCUGGAUUCUUCCAUCACCUCUGAGCCUACUUCUGACAACCCCAUGAGCUCUGAGCCGCCUCCUGACUCCAUCCCCAAGGCUGAGCCUCCUCCCGACUCCUCCAUCCCCUCUGAGCUUUCUCCUGACUCCCCCAUCACCUCUGAACCUCCUCCCGACUCCCCCAUCACCUCUGAACCUCCUCCCGAUGCCAUCACCUCUGAGCCUCCUCCCGAUUCUCCCAUCAUCAGCUCUGAACCCGAUUCUUCCAUCAAUUCUAAGCCUACUUCUGACUCCAAUGCUGAGCCUCCUCCCAACUCCGCCAUCAUCAGCUCUGAGCCCCCUCCUGACUCUCCCAUCAUCAGCUCUGAGCUUCCUCCUGACUCCAUUUCCAAGACUAAACUUUCUCUUGAUCCUUUUAUCAACAGCUUUGAGCCCUCUUCAAGCCAUUAGUUUUGAACCCCUUAUUCCUCUCCCCUCAUCUCUGAACCCUCUCUUCACCCCACUCUCCCAUCAACAGCUCUCAGCUCCCUUCUUACCCCAAUCAGGAUCUCCUCUCCGGUUCCUCCAUCAGCUACAUUAGCUUUGAGCUAAUUUAUCCUCCCUCUCUUCUAUUGCCUCUGAUCCCCCUCCCUAUACCACACUUAUUAUACCUCUGGGCCCCCUUUUCUCCUCCCUUCCAUCAUUAGCUCUGAACCCCCUAUUCCUUUACAACCAUCAUUGAUCCUGAGCCCCCUCCUCACCCCUCCAUAAGUUCUCAGCCUCUUUUCCAUUCCUUAUUAUCAGAUCUUAACCCCUUAAUUAGUUUUGAGCCCCUUUUCAGAACUUUACUUUUUCCUGUACUAAGCACUGAGCCUGAAAGACCCUAGUCCUCCCUGUUCUAGGCCUCGUCUUCUCUAACUCUGAGCCCCCUUUUUCUCACUAUCUUUAUUCCCCUCAGCUUUGAGCCAGUCCUCAGGACCCCUGAGACCCCUUUAGCUCUGAGCCCUCUUUUCAUCUUCUUCUCCCAGCUCCAAAUAGACAUUUUCUAGCCUCCUUAAACACAAAUUGCCCCUACCCUAGCUCUGAGCUUCAUGUCCCCCCCUUGCUCAGAUUAGCCUUUCCAGCUCCAAUUCCCAUUCUUCCCUUUCAACAUUGCCCCAUUUUCCAAGUCUCUCUUGCUCCUAUCCUUGCAUGGCCCUGUUCCCCCUUGGCAGAGACACAGAAGAAAGGAUCCCUAGGUUUCCCCAGACUACCCCGUUGGUCCAGGAUACAAAAAACACUAACCCCUCCCUCCCAACCUCAAGGAGACCUUUUCUGGAAACAAAGCGUAUCUGCUUCUGCCUUGCCUCAGAAACAAAAGACAUGGACCAAAGGAAGACCCAAAGUUGAGCAUGUGUUGAGCUGCAGUCAACAAGACUCGCUUCCUGGUGCUGACAUGCAUUCAGCUCCCCAAGUGAAGAUCCCAGCUAGAGAGAUGGUGUCGCUUAAUAAGAAGUCCGUGACAUUCAAGGAUGUUGCUGUGGAUUUCACCGAGGAGGAAUGGAGACGCCUGAACCCUGCUCAGAGGCAGCUGUACAGGGAUGUGAUGCUGGAGAACUACAGAAACCUAAUUUUUCUAGAUUGGGAGACUAAUCCUGAAACCAAGGAGUUGACUCCAAAACUAGACAUGUCUGUGGAAGAGUUGUCCCUGCAAAGCUUCACAAAGAUUAGUCCCCAUGACCACAGGUUGGGAGAUACCUGGGAAUAUGGUGUCAAGUUUGAGGGACAGCAGGACAAGCUAGAGAAAGAUUCCGUACAAGUAACAGUCACCCAAAGAAAAGUUCCUAAUAAACUGAGGAGCCACGAAUGUAACAAAUUUGGAAGAAGCUUUAAUUUUGGGUCAGUCCUUGUUCCACCCCAGAAAAUUCCUAUGAAAAAGAGUUUGCGUAAAUAUACUCCAUAUGGAAGAAGCCUCAAACAGUAUUCCAGCUUGAUGAAAUGUAGUAGAAUCUCCUCUGAAACUUGUAAGGGUAAUGAGUCAAGCAAAGUCUUCUGUUACUAUUCAGACUUUCAUCAAAAUCAUACAGUACAGAUGGGGAAAAAAGCUUAUAAAUAUGAAAGUGAAAAGGCAUUUAGCCAGAAUAUACACAUCACUCAGAAUCAGAGAAUUAGUCCUGGACAAAAGUCUUAUACAUGUUAUGAACCUGCUCAGGUCUUUGCCCACAACGCAUCCUUCACUACACAUCUGAAAGUCCAUAUUGGAGAGAAACCUUAUAAAUGUAAUGACUGUGGGAAAAUCUUUGGCUACAUUUCAUCCCUUAUUAAUCAUCGGAGAAUACAUACUGAAGAGAAGCCCUAUGCGUGUAAUUCCUGCGGAAAGUCUUUCAGAGAUAGGUCAUACCUUACUCAACACCAGAGAAUUCACACUGGAGAGAAACCCUAUAAGUGUGAUGAAUGUGGAAAAGUAUUUAUACGAGGUACACAUCUUACUCGACACCAGAGAAUCCACACUGGAGAGAAACCCUAUCAUUGUAAUGAAUGUGGAAAAGCCUUCAAUCAGAGCACACACCUUAUUCAGCACCAGAGAAUUCAUACUGGGGAGAAACCCUAUAAAUGUAACAUAUGUGGAAAAGCCUUCAGCCAGAGCGCUUACGUUGUUCAGCAUCAGAGACGUCACACGGGAGAGUACCCCCAUAAAUGUGACGAAUGUGGGAAAGCUUUUAGCCAAAGAUCAUCUCUCAUUGAGCAUCAGAGAAUCCAUACUGGAGAGAAACCCUGUGUGUGCAACGAAUGUGGCAGAGCAUUUAGGAGUUACCCAUCUCUUACUAAACAUCAGAGAAUUCAUACCGGAGAGAAGCCCUAUUUGUGUAAUGAAUGUGGGAAAGCCUUUAGCCGAAGUGCUUACCUUACUCAACAUCAAAGAAUUCAUACUGGAGAGAAGCCCUUUAAUUGUAUUGAAUGUGGGAAAAGCUUCAUCCGGAGUGCACACCUUAUUGAACACAAAAGAAUUCACACUGGAGAGAAACCCUAUGAAUGCAGUGUAUGUGGAAAAGCCUUCAGCAAUCGCUCAUCUGUCACUAAACAUCAAAAAAUUCACACUCAAGGAAAACACUAUGAAUGCUGUGAGUGUGGAAACACUUUUAUUAAGAAAUCAUUACUUAUUCAACAUCGAAAACUCCACCUUGGAAAGUAAUUGUAAAUACAGACUAUGGGAAAGUUUCAGCCACAGCAACCAUUAACUAUGUAUAUUCAUGAGAGAAUUCACACUGUCAGAAAUCUCCAUUGAUGAAAUGAAUAUUGGAUAGGCUUCCGAUGCAGAUAAUCAUUUGAAAAUUCAAGACUAAAGAAUAAUCGUGGGAUUCUAAAGAUUUAUGAUCUUGUUGAUGUGGGUACUUUUCCUGAUGUAGAUGUUAAUAUUGCCCUACUUUAAUACAGUUUAUAUGAUAGAAAGAACCUCGUUUAUAUAGUCAGGAUUUUGCUCAGUCAUUUUUUGUCACGUCUGCUACUUCAUGACCCCACUUGGGUUUUCUGGGAAAAAAGAAUAUGUGGGUUCAAAUCACAGUUCUUCUAUUUUCUGUUUUCAUGACCUUCAGCAAUCCCUUCCCCCCUCUGAGCCUCAGUUUCCUCACAUGAUGGGGGUGGACUAGAUGAACUCUUAAGGUUUCUUGAAGAUCUAAAUUCUGUGAUCCUAUGAAUUGUCAUGGUCAAAAACCAAAUCAUUACCUGCUGUCGAGCUUCUGGUGAUGAACCUGCUUAUGCUUAAGUAGGCUGGUCCUUGGAUUGCAAACCCAUCUUGGAUCACAUGAUUGUCCCCUACUCAAAGGAAUUCCAACUUAAUCAGAGCUGCCAAAGCUUGUGUUCCUCUGAUAUGUCUAUCCAGGGUCACCUCCACAUCGCGCUGAGUCGCCAGAGUAGGAUGUACGUGUUACCAUCCUGAUGUAUUGGGGGAGGAUUGGUGGAAGUGCAAUGUGCAGCUUCGCCUCCAGCUCCUGACUCUCGGGCCCAUCAUGUCCACCUGGGGCUCAUUCUUCUAGGCUCUUCUUGGUGCCCACGAGUUCCCAGAGGCAGGUUGCUAAAGAGCUGGUUCCCUAGGAGGGUCUGAGCACUGUGUUCUGGAGCCUGAGCAGAACAUGCAGAGAAGGGACCACAGCUGGAAGGUGGGAGGAGAUCUGAUGGAGGAUAAGGGCAAGGAUAAGAUGACCACCCUCUGGGAGCCCGGGAGAAGUACAGAAAGACCUUCUGAGAGGACAGAGCUGGUGACGGGUGCCCGAAGCUUGCUGUGAGCCAGGAAGAACUCUAGGAAAGGAAUGGCGGGCAGGGACAGCAACCACUCACCUGCCCAGAGUGUCAAGAGGGAAGGGGCGCUAUGUGGGGGAGCAAACUCCUUUUUCCAUUUUGUUUUUCAGUUGACAAGUAUUUUUUCUUUAUCUUCCUAGCCCCUCCUACCAUUUAAUAGGAAAACAAAACUCUUACAACAAAUACAUAUCAGGCAAAACAGAUUUCCAGUAUCCCAACAGAGUCCCAGUAUCCAUAUUCAAAAAUACUCUCAUUCUGUUUGUUGAAUCCAUCACCUGUCAGGUAAUCAGGACAGAUCAUCCUAAUUCCUCUGGAAUCACGGUCACUCAUUAAUCAAAGAUCUUGAAUCUUCCAGAAUUGUUUAUAUUUUUAUAAAACUGUUAAAUUAUAGGAAUGGUUAGAGAAUCAUUAUAAACCCUUGCUUUUAGCUGAUACAAGGAAGUCCUCUAAGUCUCUAAGGAGAUAAUGGUAGCUCAUUGAUGGAUAUUCUUUCUUAUGGGUUUGGCUAAGAGUUCUGUUUCCAUUAACUCAUGAAUAAGAUUGUUCUGUAGUUCAUUGAUGGCUAUUCUUUUCUCUGGGCUUGGACGUUAGCUCUGUAGAUUUCUAGUAACUUGCAAAUAAAAUUGUUCGUGUUAUGAGACUUGUGAGCCCAUGUGCUUGUAAGAAGAUCUGGUGGUUACUGUUGAGAUGUCAUACUGAUGUUCCCAAAUCAUCAGGAGACAGGAAGUAAGAAGAGUUUAGAGGAUCCCAAAGUGUACUCAAAAUCUCAAAAUCAGGAAGGUUUUUCUGACAGGUUUUUGCCACAUUAUUUUCUUCCCAGAGUCACAUGGGUACACUCCGAGUCUGGCUUGCUUCUUCCUCCUGUUUUUACUUCUUAGUCACACCAAGAUAGAAAUGCAGUCCAUAUUUCCUUCAGACCCUUCCUAAAAUGUAAUCCAUUACUUUCCCCCUUCUCUACAAUGGAGCUAAUAAUUUUGACAGCCAACCAAAGUGACUGAUCUGUGUCUACAAUCUUAGAUUCAGUGGACUAUUUGGGCUGUGGAUCUCAAGGGAUAUUAAACAUCUUUACAAAGUCGCCAAAUGGGCGACUAUUUUUUUUAAAAAUCUACCAAAUAAAAAUGAGCAUUUCUAUAUUUGAAGUAAGACAGAAAGAGCGUCUUACAUGAACCUGUAAAUUUUACUUUCCCUUUUAAAUUAAUAUAGGACUUGGCAAGUUGUCAUCUUUGUGUCAAUUCUGUGCAUUUAAAAAAUGCUUCAAAGACUUUUUCUUUUACAACC
rnacentral:lncRNA from 1 species